rnacentral:rRNA from 1 species
GUGAGGAAUUUUCCGCAAUGGGCGAAAGCCUGACGGAGCAAUGCCGCGUGAAGGAUGAAGGCCUAUGGGUUGUAAACUUCUUUUCUCAGAAAAGAAUUAUGACGGUAUCUGAGGAAUAAGCAUCGGCUAACUCUGUGCCAGCAGCCGCGGUAAGACAGAGGAUGCAAGCGUUAUCUGGAAUGAUUGGGCGUAAAGCGUCUGUAGGUUGUUUAAAAAGUAUUUUGUCAAAGAUGAGGGCUUAACCCUAAAUAGGAAGAAUAAACUUUUAAGCUAGAGUGUGGUAGAGGCAGAGGGAAUUCCCGGUGGAGCGGUGAAAUGCGUAGAUAUCGGGAGGAACACCAAAGGCGAAGGCACUCUGCUGGGCCAAUACUAACACUGAGAGACGAAAGCGAGGGGAGCAAAUGGGAUUAGAUACCCGGGUAGUCC